rnacentral:misc_RNA from 1 species
AACGGUCUAUACCUGCGGUACCUGCGGAAGGAUCAUUAUAGAGUGGUAAACCCCCCGUAAAAGGGGGGGACCUCCUGUCCUUUGUAGGCUCUUUUUUAAAAGGGCUUUUUUUAAUUUUCUGCUUCGGUGGGGUUAUCCCACCGGAACAACCUCAAAACUCUUAUCAAAAAAUCGUUCUGUCUGAGAACCUUUUAUAAUAAAAAAAAACUUUCAGCAACGGAUCUCUAGAUCGGAAGAGCA